rnacentral:rRNA from 2 species
CGAAGGCGGCCCCCUGGACAAAGACUGACGCUCAGGUGCGAAAGCGUGGGGAGCAAACAGGAUUAGAUACCCUGGUAGUCCACGCCGUAAACGAUGUCUACUUGGAGGUUGUGCCCUUGAGGCGUGGCUUCCGGAGCUAACGCGUUAAGUAGACCGCCUGGGGAGUACGGCCGCAAGGUUAAAACUCAAAUGAAUUGACGGGGGCCCGCACAAGCGGUGGAGCAUGUGGUUUAAUUCGAUGCAACGCGAAGAACCUUACCUGGUCUUGACAUCCACAGAACUUUCCAGAGAUGGAUUGGUGCCUUCGGGAACUGUGAGACAGGUGCUGCAUGGCUGUCGUCAGCUCGUGUUGUGAAAUGUUGGGUUAAGUCCCGCAACGAGCGCAAC